GCUGAGGCUCAGAGGUAGAGCGCUUGCCUAGCAUGUGUGAGGCCCUGGGUUCGAUCCUCAGCAGCA
rnacentral:tRNA from 1 species